rnacentral:rRNA from 1 species
CGCGUGAGGGAUGACGGCCUUCGGGUUGUAAACCUCUUUCAGUAGGGAAGAAGCGAAAGUUCCGGUACCUGCAGAAGAAGCGCCGGCUAACUACGUGCCAGCAGCCGCGGUAAUACGUAGGGCGCAAGCGUUAUCCGGAUUUAUUGGGCGUAAAGAGCUCGUAGGCGGUUUGUCGCGUCUGCCGUGAAAGUCCGAGGCUCAACCUCGGAUCUGCGGUGGGUACGGGCAGACUAGAGUGAUGUAGGGGAGACUGGAAUUCCUGGUGUAGCGGUGAAAUGCGCAGAUAUCAGGAGGAACACCGAUGGCGAAGGCAGGUCUCUGGGCAUUUACUGACGCUGAGGAGCGAAAGCAUGGGGAGCGAACAGGAUUAGAUACCCUGGUAGUCCAUGCCGU